UUAUAUACCACGACUCCAUGUUGUAUGAUACUGGAUAUCCAACUUAGGAAAAAAAUUCACAAAGUCUUUCACCAAAAUGUGCAAGCUACCUAAACGCCCUCAGCAGGGGAAUGACUAAAUGGCCUGUAGCAUCAAAUGGAAGCCUAUAAAGCAAGGAACAACAGCUUUCAGAGUGCAGACUAUCCACAAGAACUCUGUUUUAGUUGCCUGGUAACAAAGCGUCUACACGUUCUGCAGCUGCAGAGGUUGGCUGCCUAGCUCACUCCCGUGUCUCCAUCCUCUAUAUAGGACCCAACAAGAGGAUCUGCUCCCAAGACAGUAACGGGCUGGGGUCUAUUUUAGCAUUUCAAGUAAUGCUUGAAAUGAAUGCCUUCCAGUGCCCUCCAUAUUAGAGAAGCUACCUGUAAAUGAUUUAAAAUAUAUUCCCUGUAUUUCUACUCAUUGCCGUCUUGUCUCAGACACUAAGAAGAUAUCUAGGAGUCUCCUUCCAUGGACAACUUCAGCUAGUGCCACAAAAAUCAAACCGCUGUAUGGCAGUUUCUCCAAAUUGAAACUUUCCGUCUAGGAGGGAAGAGGAGGCUCCCGAGAUUCAACAGAAACUGUGUCAGAACACAAAGGCACAAUAAAAGACGCAAGCAUACAAAAGCAGCGUGACGUCAGCACCCUCCCCUUCAUCGGCCAAUCAUUUUGUUUGUCGGGAGUGUGGGUGUCACAGAGAUCCUGGACUUGGAAGCCUGAGAGCCAAGGUGCAAGCCCACCUCCACCGCACAUUUCCUGUGUGAUCUUGAGUGAGUGACUCAGCCUCUCAGCCUCAGUCUCCUCAUCCACACAGUUCGAGAACGGCUUCCACCCCCGAGUUUCAUGAACAUCAAAUCAAGAACCUGGUGUGUAUGGCUUACAUGUGUGGUGCCGUGAGAACAAGAUUUUGGUUUUCUCCUUAA